ensembl:lncRNA
UCGGCUCCUUCUUCACCAACGUCGACCAGCAGCUGAGUCCCGCCACUGAAAACCACGGAGAAGGAGACGGCGCGUCUGCCGGGCAGAGAGCAAACGCACCAACAUCUGCAGGAGGAAACGCACCGUGAGGACAAAGCGACGCUCACAGAGCAGCUUCUUCAGUUUCUCACCGCAGCAGGAAGAUGAAGCUCAGAGCCGUAUCCAUCCCAAAGGCCUCUAUCUCCAGCCGUUCAAGCUGCCGAGGAGGAAAUACACUGAAAUGAAAUGGUCCUUGGAGCUGCGGCUGCAGUCAGUCUGAAGUCUGAUGAUCUUUGGGUCUGUAAAACAGAAAUAUGAAAACCGUUGAAGCAGAACACCGACAGCCUCCAGAGGAGGGACGCUGCUCUGGGAUCAGAUCGACCGUUGGUUCGCAGCUGGUGACAGAAAAACAGGACAUCUUCUCACUGUGGUUCCAACUGGCGUCCGAGAUAAGAUCCCCACACCAAAGAAACACAAUCGCUACAACACAUAGUGUUGGUCUGUGUAAAACUAGUAUGAUGAGAAUUGUUGUAACAUUCUUCUUUUGGUUUUUUAAUAUUAUUAUAGCAACAUGAAGAUCUUCUUACUGUCGACAUUGUGUUGAAUGAAUCUUUCUGUUGGAUUUCUCUCCAGGGAUUUGAUCCCAAAUACAACUUGACAAUAAUUUUUUAAAGCACUGAUAUUCCACUAUUGUAGAUAUGAUGUACAUGCGUGUUAGUGACGUAAAAAAGAGCAGGUUGUCUCCGGAUGAAACGGCGCCCCCUGUUUGUAACGUGAGUAUAAUCAAACAAUCACAGCGAGUCUAACUGAGAAAAAACAGGUGGCGGCGGAGUGUCAACAAACAAAAUGGCGUCUCAGCAACACGUGCGCUGUCAUUAUCGGACCGAUGGAGAUGGUUUAAGGACCCUGAAAAAAAAGAGACCCAGCUUCACAUCCCGCUAGCAUCAUUAAAGUUGACAUCGCUGCCCAGCUGCGACGCACACAGGACCGCGACAGUGAAAGUACAACAGACUGAAGAUCCAUCCGACUCGGAUGAAACCGCAUGGCGUCGUUUCUUCUUCUUCUACUCUCCUCCCCGGGUCACGGGGUCACGGCGCAGUAAUAAACUGCCGAGUCGCUCCAUGUGGCGUCGAGCAGCAGCAGCGAGCCGUCGGCUCCAGCGGAGACCUUCCCCGGGCCCACGGCGGCGCCGUACUUCACGUCGGAGGCGUUUGUGGACCUGAAGGCCAGCAGCAGCUCCGGGCGGCGUCCUGCCGCUGUCCGGUACCAGCUGAGGGUGGAGGAGGCGUUGGUGGAGGAGGCGUUGGUGGAGGCGUCCAGCAGGGGGCACCGCAGGGCGGCGUCCUCCCCGACCCUCACCCGCACGGGGGAGGCUGGCAACGCGGCGGCGGCGUGCGGCUCCCACCGGAAACCUGAGACACGUGUUUAUUUAUAAUCGUUUUCAUCCACACAGACAGAAUCAAUAUAACUAAAGUAGGUUGUAGUAGAACUAGUUCUGAGAAGAAAAAAAAAAUGCUUUUGAUUCCAAACAGUAAGAAAUUACAUUUGAAACAAAAGUAAUAAUAUAGCUUUUCAAGUUAAAACGAGAUGGAAAGUUGAUUUAAUUUCGUGCCGCUAAGUGGUGACUGACCAAUAGUUGCACCUCUGAAUAUUUGUUCCUCCAUUAAUCCUGAAUAUUUAAACAUGUAAAGUAUCGUUCAGGCGCUGCAUUUCUAAUCCUUCUUAAAGGAAGCUUUAAUUUGAAGGAACGUUCGGCAUAAAAUCCCUUCAAUUUGCCCAAAAUGAGUCUUCUACCUGUCAACAGUUGAUGCGUUUAGUCACCAGAUUAUGAAUCAGUUGCCUGAAGAUUAUAUUUCAAUAUCAAUUUAAGCAUAAAACUAAAUAUGUGUAUGCAGAGUUUAGACAUUAAUAAUAUAAACAAAACAACUCACUGCUGAAAGAGAGGAUCAGACCAACCAGCAGAGACUCCAUCACUGAGGAAGCUGCUAACUGAAAGACUUCAAUGACAAAGAUGUCCUCCGGUGGUGGAGACACUGAGACAAGAGCCGAUCACACAUCAGUCCCGCUCUGUUAUUGAUCCACACCAACAGCUACUUCCUGUUUACUUCCUGGUGUUGCAGUGAUGGUUGAGCGUGUGGGUCUAAAUCACCAGGGGGGUAAAUGUGACCAUGGAACACCUGCAGGAAGUUUAAGUAACCGCUUGUCUUUUAUAGAUGAGAAUAUUUUCGUUGUAAGAUUGAACUAGUUUAUAAUCCCAAACAGAUUUAAUAAUUAGUUCAAACUUUAGCUAUCAACUCGUUUAUGUCAGCAGAAAAUUAAAACCAUAAAUGAGUGCAGUCGGUAAAUAUAUGAAUUGAAUAUUAUAUUAGGAAUGUGGCAGGUAAAAGUACCCGUGCUACCCAACCAAACCCUGCCGGUGCCUUGGGGAGGAUUUACAGUGGGCAGACUGACCCGUAAACAGGCGUCAGAAAACACUUCCAAGGUUCUAGAACCUCGGGGACGGUCUCAUCUGAACCGCUAUAUUAAUAAUGUUAAUAUUAUUGUUACGAUCAUUAUAAUCACAUUAUUAUUUAUACUACUUAAACGUAUCAUUAUUUUAUAUUAUUAUCUCUGUUAGUAAUAUUUAUGCAUUAUUGCCUUUUUAUUUAUUAUUGUUAUUUAUGUUGUCAUUGUUGUUAUCAUGACAGUUGGACUCUAGGUGUGGCCCC